AGGCUGCAGAAAAUGCUGUGCCCGGUCAGACAAAAUGGAUUAGAAAGGGAGUAUGUUCACCAUGGGCCAUGAAGAUUGUCAUUGUUUGGCCAACUACAGAGCAAUUUGAGAUUCAGCAGUUUCUUCUCCAGUUAAAAAAAAUAAAAGGAGAAGGACUCUACUGAGAUGGAUUAUUACUCAAAGUGCUCUAAUUCCCAACUGGUGUUUUUCUGUGGUCACUACUGCAUCCCUGGCCUCUCCGGACUUAGCGCUGUUGGGCAAAUUGCCUGGCCUCCGGAAUGCAGCUUGUGUGUCCGUGCCAGUUCUUAGUGCCCUGGAGUCCUCCAGUCCUGAUAAAAGUCUUCAGCCACAGAUUAAGCCAGAAGCUACUGUAUGACCACAAGGAUCAGAGGAGCCCUGCCUCUCUUUACUGGGAUGGCCUUUGGGGGAAGUUUAGCUGGGUCACGCCUGUCCCGGCCCGCGGUACUGGAGAAACCAAAAACCCACCAACAACCAGCCUGGAAGGAGAACCUGCCUGAGUUCAGAUAAGGCUCUACCACUUCCGAGUUGGCCGACUUCAAAGACCCCUGGCCUGCGUCCCUCGUCAUAUAUACACUCUUCAUGUGAGAAGACUAGCAGGAAGAGGGAGACCUGGGGACCAUCCCGACACUGGUGAAGAUUUUGCAAUCUCCAGUCAAAUCCAUAGACAUCCUCAGUUCCUGCAAACAUGAUACUCCAUCUGCUUGUCCCAUUUAAAUGUAGUCUUUAUAGAACCUGAGUAAUUGUUAAAAUGUAUUUUCAUAAAAUAAUUUUGUCAUCUGAUGCCAAGCAUGUUGUCUUAAGUGCAUUGCUGCUUUGGAAUUUAAUGUUUUAUCUAUUUUUGUGGUCUCUCCUUAAUUGUUAUGUAUGCUAUUCAUACAUGUUUCAUGGCUUAGGCACCCAAGCAACGAUGAUCUUUCUGCCAUUUAUGCCAACACACUAUUUAUACUACCUGAAGAUUGCAAAUCCAAGGCAUUACUAGAUGACACUGUAUCACAGCAUUACGGUAGAGUUUACUUCCCAAAUAAAGCUUUUCUUGUGCGUCAAUAUUAAAUUGGCUUAUAUUCUCUCAUCACACAUGGUGAAAAUUGUGGAAGAAGGCAGACUAGGAGUUUCAAGACAGUGGGAGUGAAGAGUGUACAUACUUGUGUCUGAAUACCAGAAAAAUCCUUAAGGAUGGUAUUUGGUUGAAAUAAUACCAAUGUAGUUAUUAAAAAUAAUACC
rnacentral:lncRNA from 1 species